GAGAUACUGAAUGUCAGUGAUACACACUGAGCAUCACUGCCCCAGGAAGCACCUCUAGCAGCCAUCUGAGGAGUGGCCAGUGGAGGUAUCCCUAGGCUGUAAUGUAAACACUGCAUUUUCUCUGAAAAGCAAGUUUUUACUGCAAAAUGCCAGAAGGGAAUGAUUAUACUCACCAGAACAAAUACAAUAAGCUGUAGUUGUUCU